AGCGAACGCUGGCGGCAGGCCUAACACAUGCAAGUCGAACGAAGUCUUCGGACUUAGUGGCGGACGGGUGAGUAACACGUGGGAACGUGCCCUUUGGUACGGAAUAACUCAGGGAAACUUGAGCUAAUACCGUAUGUGCCCUUCGGGGGAAAGAUUUAUCGCCAUUGGAGCGGCCCGCGUCUGAUUAGCUAGUUGGUGAGGUAAAGGCUCACCAAGGCGACGAUCCGUAGCUGGUCUGAGAGGAUGAUCAGCCACAUUGGGACUGAGACACGGCCCAAACUCCUACGGGAGGCAGCAGUGGGGAAUCUUGCGCAAUGGGCGAAAGCCUGACGCAGCCAUGCCGCGUGAAUGAUGAAGGUCUUAGGAUUGUAAAAUUCUUUCACCGGGGACGAUAAUGACGGUACCCGGACAAGAAGCCCCGGCUAACUUCGUGCCAGCCGCCGCUGUAAAAC
rnacentral:rRNA from 1 species